rnacentral:tRNA from 1 species
GGAGAAGUAUCGAAGUGGUCAUAACGAGAACGACUCGAAAUCGUUUGGCGGGUUCCCCCCGUCCGUGGGUUCGAAUCCCACCUUCUCCGCCA